AUUCCCAGCUACAGAGGGCAUCCUUUAUUCAGUCCCUAAUGCAGAUGGUUGGAGUGUUGAUCCACCUAACAUGAGGGAGCACUCGUUUUGAGUCCUGAAACCCUGGGGUGACCACCGUGAACAAAUACAGACUGCAAAAAGGCAGUCUUGACGGUACUAGGAUGAAUGCAAAUAAAGACUAACCACCUGACUUCAGAGGUCCAGUCUCUUGUGGGAAGCAGGUGUUUGUUACCCCAAAUACGGAUGAAGAGUGACGAAGAGGAUGAUGAUU